rnacentral:misc_RNA from 1 species
CCGAGUUUACAACUCCCAAACCCCUGUGAACAUACCUAUACGUUGCCUCGGCGGGUUCGCCCGUCGGAGGCCCAGCAACCAAACGCUUUAUAAUAACCGUGUCGUCUGAGCGAAGCAUACGCAAUCUGAAAUCA